rnacentral:rRNA from 1 species
GACGAACCACCCAAACGUUAUUCGGAAUUACUGGGCUUAAAGAGUGCGUAGGCGGUCAUGUAAGUAGGGUGUGAAAUCCCACAGCUCAACUGUGGAACUGCGCUCUAAACUACAUGACUAGAGGGAUAUAGAGGUGAGCGGAACUGAUGGUGGAGCGGUGAAAUGCGUUGAUAUCAUCAGGAACACCGGAGGCGAAGGCGGCUCACUGGGUAUCUUCUGACGCUGAGGUACGAAAGCUAGGGGAGCGAAC